CAGUAGCCGCGGGAAUACAGAGGGUGCGAGCGUUAAUCGGAUUUACUGGGCGUAAAGCGUGCGUAGGCGGCUUCUUAAGUCGGAUGUGAAAUCCCUGAGCUUAACUUAGGAACUGCAUUCGAGACUGGGAAGCUAGAGUAUGGGAGAGGAUGGUAGAAUUCCAGGUGUAGCGGUGAAAUGCGUAGAGAUCUGGAGGAAUACCGAUGGCGAAGGCAGCCAUCUGGGCUAAUACUGACGCUGAGGUACGAAAGCAUGGGGAGCAAACAGGAUUAGAUACCCGCGUAGUCCCUGUCUCUUAUAA
rnacentral:rRNA from 1 species